CUUACCCAGGACGCUAAGUUGGAAGUGUUUGGUCUUCUCCCCUACGGCACUGGCUGCAAUGCAGGAGUAGUGGCCAGAACUAGACAGGUCGGCCUGGACGAUCUGCAGGAGAGCUCUGUCUGGAGAAAUGCGAAUUUUCUAGAUGUCUACAAGGCUGCGGUAUUUAAUUGCAUCGCUGCAGGACAAGUCUCUGGAGACAGGCUCCCGUUAUGUGCAGGAACCUCACAGAGGGGGGCCAAGACGACGCCUCACGGGGCUCACGGACUCAUGGAGAAGCAGACAUUGAAGAGCUAGGGUGGUUAUGUGACAGG